rnacentral:rRNA from 1 species
AUUGAACGCUGGCGGCAGGCCUAACACAUGCAAGUCGAACGAGUGGCGGACGGGUGAGUAAUGUCUGGGAAACCGCCUGAUGGAGGGGGAUAACCACUGGAAAAGGUAGCUAAUACCGCCAACUCUCAGAUGUGCCCAGAUGGGAUUAGCUUGUUGGUGGGGUAACGGCUCACCAAGGCGACGAUCCCUAGCUGGUCUGAGAGGAUGACCAGCCACACUGGAACGGGGACACGGUCCAGACUCCUACGGGAGGCAGCAGUGGGGAAUAUUUGACAAUGGGCGCAAGCCUGAUGCAGCCAUGCCGCGUGUAUGAAGAAGGCCUUCGGGUUGUAAAGUACUUUCAGCGGGGAGGCGUUACCCGCAGAAGAAGCACCGGCUAACUCCGUGCCAGCAGCCGCGGUAAUUC